UACGAAGGGGGCUAGCGUUGCUCGGAAUUACUGGGCGUAAAGCGCACGUAGGCGGCUUUCCAAGUUGGAGGUGAAAGCCCGGGGCUCAACUCCGGAAUUGCCUUUAAGACUGCAUCGCUAGAAUUGUGGAGAGGUAAGUGGAAUUCCGAGUGUAGAGGUGAAAUUCGUAGAUAUUCGGAAGAACACCAGUGGCGAAGGCGACUUACUGGACACAUAUUGACGCUGAGGUGCGAAAGCGUGGGGAGCAAACAGG
rnacentral:rRNA from 1 species